rnacentral:lncRNA from 1 species
CUGUUCUGUGUCUGUACUCCAGGUCCUUCUCUUUCAUUCCCUUGAUGCCUCCCUCUUCUCUACUAUAUUUGUCAAAACAUAAAUAUACCUUCAGUCUCAGCCCCAAGCAGGAGAAGGAGGAAGCCCAGAGGCAGAUGCAGGCCCUGUGGAGGGGGCCAGGCCUUCCGGAAGAAGCCAGGCAGGCGGGCCACAGUGUAGGAAAGGUCACGCGGAUGAUGCAUCUGCGUGGGUACGGAUGGGGGCACUGAGAGUCAGCCCGAGAUGGCAACGAUGCCUGGCAGUCAGGGGCAUCCGACCACAGCUGGCGGCAGUGCCUCCUCCCCAGACAGGGGGAAGCCGGUGCCCAGGAACCUUUCAAGGGCAAGAACAUCAUCUACUGCAGAUGUUGGGGAGACUCAAAUCAUGCAAGCCGAUCCUCACCACCAUCCAUGGCAGGCCUGCGGCAGCCGAACCCUGGAGUUUGAGGGCUGACGUUGGGGGACCAGGACUAAAAGUGUUUCUCGCGGUUGGGGUAUGCCACUACACUGCCUUCCCCUUGAAAAGGUAAAAGCCGGGAGACUGGUUCACAGGACCAGUCAAGGGUGCGGCUGUAAGGUAGGACUGGACGCAGCUGGGUAGACUGGAGGGAUCCUGCCCUCAAAAGACCGCACCCUUCCUCCUCUCCUCGAAGGCCUGGGACACCCGGCUUGGGGUGAAUUAGGGGGUUCCCGGGCUCCGAGGGGUUAACCCGCGCGGGGCCGC